UUAUUGAUUAUGUGUCAUGUUGUAACGUAAGGUUGAAAGAGAGACGAUAAUAUCAUUAAGAUUAUCAUAAUAAUGAAUGAACUGGUCGGCGAAAUUUGGUCUACGCAAAGACGUGAUUUCAACGCAUUUAAGAUUUUUCUUAAAACGUCAUGAAUAUGGAAAUACAGAGUGUGUGUCGUUAACAACAUGCUUUAAGGACAAAAUAAUGCGGGCCGUUUCAAACAUUAGUUGAAAACACGUAACUCUGAUCACAUCUGUAACGCGCAUGCGCAAGUUCUUAGACGCUUGCACCGGGAGCAGCGCGACGUGAACGGGCUGAUACAACCACGGCUACCGGCCCCAAUACUCUGUUCCUGUGGAUGGAGGUUACAUCUGAUGGAGUUUGUCCCUGCAGUUGUCCUGCCUUACACCUGGUGUACUACUCUGAAUAUUUGAAUAAUUUCUGUGGUAGGAAUUGAACGUACUGUACAUCUUUAAGUUGUUCUCUCUGUACACAGCUACUCCUCCACUGUUCUCCCUUAGGUUUUGUCCAGUUGAAGGUAUACGAUCCGGAUUCAAGUGACUCAGAGCCAAAUGAAGUGCCAAUGAUUCAGAAAAAUGGUUUACAAACACAAAAUUCUAAC